AUCCAACAGAAGAAUCUCAUUCAGGACGAAACAUGCGUCCUGGAU
rnacentral:hammerhead_ribozyme from 1 species